rfam:Gossypium arboreum cultivar AKA8401 contig_9141_1, whole genome shotgun sequence.
AAAUCAUGCAUGGGAUAUUUUCUAAGUAAUUCCUUAAAUCUUUCCUAAGCUUCAUAAAGUGUUUCAUCUUCUGAUUUUCGAAAGAUGUGAUGUCAUUUCUAAGGCU